UACGUAGGGUGCUAGCGUUAUCCGGAUUUACUGGGCGUAAAGGGCGCGUAGGUGGUCUUUCACGCCGGUGGUUAAAGGCCACGGCUCAACCGGAGUACGCCACCGAAACUGGAAGACUUGAGUACAGGAGAGGAAAGUGGAAUUCUCAGUGUAGCGGUGAAAUGCGUAGAUAUUGGGAAGAACACCGGUGGCGAAGGCGGCUUUCUGGACUGUAGCUGACACUGAGGCGCGAAAGCGUGGGUAGCAAACAGG
rnacentral:rRNA from 1 species